rnacentral:lncRNA from 1 species
AGAAGUGAGUUUCCCAUAGACACAGUGUUGGAACCAGGAUCUGAACUUCAACUUUGGUCUCCUUUUCAGAGCACCAGCUACUUUCACCCAGGACAGGAACCUAUCUGGAUGAUGGACCCAGGACCAUAAAUUUGUGUUGGAAUGGUCCUUGGAAGUCAUCUACUUCAACAUCAACAUUUUACAAAAGUGGACACUGAGACCAAGAGAAGUUGGGUGACUUGUCUAAGGUCACACAGAUCCUGCUCUUCCUCCCUGCCUUCAUCUGGACUAUUCUUACUGAGAGGAAGGAGGUACAUUUGGCACACACUCCCCACUUCUCCAAAUGUUGAAUCCUUUCAGUUCUUUAAAGUACAAUUCAAGUAGGCAACUAGGUGAGUCAGAGAAUUGAGAACCAGGUCUACAGAUGGGAGGUCCUGAGUUCAAAUGUGGCCUCAGACACAUCCUAUCUGGGUGGCCCUGGGCAAGUCACUGAACCCCAUUGCCUACCCUUACCACUCUUCUACCUUGGAACCGAUAUACUACAGUAUUGAUUCUAAGACAGAAGGUAAAGAUUUAAAAAACCAAACAAGCAACACAACUCUAAUAUUUCUUCCUUCGUGAAACUCUUCCUUGCUUCUCCAGCUGAUACCUUCUCAUAGCACUGUGCUUAAUAUCUCUAGUACAUAUAUGUGCUGUUUCUUGUUAUAAUAGAUCACAGUCAAUGGGCCUUUCUCCUUACUAGGCUGUAAGUUCCAUAAAUUCAGGGGACAUGUCAUAUCUAACCUUUCUCUCACCCUGAGUGUCUGCCUUUCAGCCGUUUUCAAUCAUAUCUGAUUCUUUGUGACCCCAUUUGUGAUUUUCUUGGCAAAGAUACUGGAAUGAUUGGCCCUUUCCUUACUCCUGCUCAUCUAACAGAUGAGGAAACUGAGGCAAACAGGGACAAGUGACUUGUCUAGGAUCACAGAUCUAGGAAGUGUCUGAGGUCAGAUUUGAACUCAGGAAGAUGAGUUUUCCUGACUCCAGGUUGGGCAUUCUAUCUACUCUGCCACCUAGCUGCCCAUGUACUGCCUAACACUUAAUAAAUGUCAAGUUUCUUGAUUUAUAGUUGAAUCC